UCGACAGAAGAAACAAAUUCACGAAAUACCACCAAUGAUAUAAACAACACAAACACCACAGAAAAUAACAAAACACACACAGCCGAACCCACCACUCCAAGAGAAACACAUAAACAGACAACCGUAAUCGAUCAACCGAUUACACCCAACGAACAAACAAACACACCCACAAGCAGCGACACACUAACGAUCAGUUCACCUGAAUCACCAGAUUCUAUAUACAUAGAAGUUACUAAUGAAACACCUAAAACCCCCACUAUGAUGGUGGAGGAAUAUAUAAUUACUAAUACACAAGAAGACAACACAUCAGAAUACGAUAAAUUCAAAAUUAUAUACUAAAUACCACUCACAAGGCAUCCACAUCCACACUUAAACAUUUGGUCUCAUGUUCUCGUUAUUACAAGCUAACAUACAGGGACUAAGAGCCAACAAAGAAGAAAUUAGAGAAUUGCUAAUAAAAAGAAAGAUCGAUGUAGCCUGCCUGCAGGAGACAUGGUUGGAUGAUAAAGCCAUAGGGAAAAUAAACAUCCCACACUAUGAACUAAUAUCGGACAAUAGAGAAGAUGGUUACGGAGGAGCGGCAAUAUUAAUACGCACAGAGCUAAACACAGAAAAACUCAAAGUGAUUCCCCCUAACCCAUACAUACAGAUAGUAGCCGCUCGUAUAAAGCAAGCAGGCUUAGUAAUCGCUUCGGUGUACGUUAAACCCAACACACCAAUCGCAACAUUCCGCAGCUUACUAACCCUUAGCAUCACAAGCUUGGCGAAAUAUAACAAAUUAAUAAUUAUGGGUGAUUUUAACUCUCAUCACUCUGAAUGGGGAAAUCAGACGUGUGACGGAAAAGGAAACAUCCUUUUACAUGAGAUUAAUGAAAACAAUCUAACUGUGAUAAAUAACUAUGAACAGACUUUCAUUAACCCAGACCCAAACAAAAGUAACUCAGCAAUAGAUUUGACAAUCACCUCUCUAGCUAUAACCCCACAUAUUCAAAGGAACGUUUCAGACAUACACAUCGGCAAUAGUGGACAUCGGGUUAUAUUCACCAAUUUUAACCUAUUCAAACCUCCCCCACAAAAAAUCACAGUUUAUAAUAAGAAAAAAAUAGACGAAGAAAUAUCCAGCCUACCAUACAAUAACAAUUCUGACAUCAACUCAAUUACCAAAGAUAUCAAUAAAAUUAUUUUAAGAAACAAAAUCAAGACCCCGUUCACCCCAAAAUCAUGGUGGAAUGAUAUCGUUCAAAAAGCAUGGGAAGAGAAAUGCAGAGCUAGAACAGACUAUAACCAAAAUCGGACGAUCGAAAACCAAAUCAAGUACAAGAAAGAAUCAGCCAAAUUUCGAUUCGCAAAACAAAAAUCAAAAACCAAACGAAUCGAGGAAAAACUUGACUUGAUCGAUUCUCAAUCCUCUAUGGAUGACCUUUGGACUCUUUUGGGAAUGUUCAAAGAUAAACCUGCCAGAACAAACAAGAUUGCCACAGAUGAAUCCCUAGCAAAAGAGUUCUUAAAAAUUCAUUUCGGUUCAUCAAACCAAAAAAAAAAUGAAACAAGACCCCGAUUCAUAAGCGAUAAAAAUCUAAUUGACUACAACAGAUGGCAAAAUAUCCUAAACUCAAAAAAGAAUUCAGCUCCUGGUAUUGACAAAAUAUCGUACAAAACAUUGAAACUACUAAGCAGCGAAAACACCAAAGCCAUAAUCGGAAACAUCAAUGACAUGUACAAAAGAGGAGUCGUGGAAAAAAAGCUCAGAAGAAUAAAAAUCGUAGCAAUUGGAAAACCCGGCAAGGAUCUCAGUCUAGCAGCAAAUCACAGACCCAUAGCUUUGCUUCCUACUAUAACGAAAGUGGCAAACACGGCCAUCUUACACAACAUUAACCACAUCGUAGAUAAGUUUGACAUCCUCCCCAGCACAUCCUUCGGAUUUAGGAAAAACCGUCCCACAACCUCCGCAGUUGAUUCUCUCUCCAACAUUUUAAAAAAUAACAUAAGAAAAAACAAACACACUACAGUAGUUUUUAUUGACAUUAAAAACGCCUACAAUAGUGUGAAUGUUGGCCUUUUAACAAAAAUCCUCUCCGGAAAAAUGAUACCACACGAAGAUAUCAGAUGGAUAGAAGGAUUCCUCUCAAACCGACUGGUAGAGAUCGCUGCUGAAGGUAAAUCGAUUAAGAGAAGGAUAACUAACGGGUUGCCCCAAGGGGACGUCCUUUCACCACUGCUUUUCAACCUGUAUACAAGUGGAUGUCACGAAUUAAACCGGUAUAAUGUAAAAAUAAUCCAAUAUGCAGACGAUUUCGCAUUAAUUGGAAGUGCAAUCACCUCUCCAGCAGCUCAAACAAAAACACAACGGGCCCUGAACCAAUUGGCAAACACACUAUCUUCCCUUCAACUUGAAAUAAACGUAGCAAAAACAAAACUCAUGACAUUUUCCAAAAACUACACUCACACAACAAUAGCACUAAACGGAACUCCCCUUGAACAAGUCAACUCCCACCACUUCCUAGGCAUAGAAAUUGACAACAGAUUAAAAUUCCACUCCCAUAUUAACAACCAAAUCAACAAAGCCCAGAAAAAAAUGAAUUUCAUUAAAGCCGUAUGCAACAAAUCCAACCACAUAAAUCCAGAAAAAGCUAAACAACUACACCAAGCUCUUGUGAGGGGUACCCUGGAAUACGGGAUAACUCUAAGUAGCAACGCCAACAAGAACAAACUCAACACCAUGAGCACAAUAAUUAACCAGUCACUCAGGAAAAUUACAGGCUGCACAAAAACUACUCCGAUCAACACACUCCACGCCAUAGCAGCAGAAAUGCCCUUCCACAUACGAUCUAAACUUCUUAUGCAAAAACAACUAUGCAAAGCAAUAGCACAUUCCUUUUUCACCACAACAUCUCAGCCACUCCCAAUCACAUCAAGAAAUCUAACCGCUCAAGAAAAAACAUACAUAACUGACAAACUCAUCUUCAACAACAUAACUAAGUAUGAUUUCAACCACUCAAAAUCCACUUCCGAAAACAUCAAUAUUAACACGAUCAUCCCAGGCAUUGACACCAACAAACACAACUUAAACAUAACAGUCCUUUACCAAACAAGCAUGCAAAUCAUCAACUCACAUCAGGGCAUAAAAAUAUAUACAGACGGCAGCAAAAAAGAUGAAAAUUGCGGCAUAGGAAUUUAUGUAAAAACUCAAAUUGAAGAACUCAAAAUAUCAAAGAAACUCCAACACCCAACAUCCAUAAGCACUACAGAACUCUACGCAAUAGACCUGGCACUCGAGAUGUCGACGAAAAAACGAUGGAAUAAUAUUGCCAUUUACACAGACAGUCUAUCAGCAUGCCAAACAUUAAAUACAGCCAAAGAAGAAAACCGAAUAGACGAACUCCUCGGGAGAAUACUACAUAACUGUGAAGUCACUCGAGCAAUAAUCCAAUGGAUCCCAAGCCAUGUCGGAAUAGCUGGAAAUGAAAUUGCCGACCAAUUAGCCAAAGAUAGUCUUAGUAAACAAACUGUGAUAAAUAACAAAAUAAGAUUAAAAGAUGCUAUUAAUUUAUUCCAACAUAGAGCUAACCACGAGACUAAUACAUGGUACACUGAACUAUGCCGAAGCAAAGGGAAAAAAUUUGCUAGAUACCAAAGCUCAAUUGAAAAUAAAAUGUGGCACUAUAAACUAAAAAUCCCAGCAAAGGACAUCAAAACACUUAAUAGAUUAAUAGCAGGCCAUGAUUAUGGGAAUUUCUGGCUACACAAAAUGAAGCUCAUAGACAGAGGAACAUGUGCAAUUUGUAACGUAGAGGACACAGCGAGUCACAGAGUCUUCUAUUGCCACAAAUUCGACAUGGAACGAAAAGACCAGUUAAAAAUAAAUGAACAAAACUUCAUCAAGGCCUGGAAGACGAAAGAUAAAAAGAAAAUGAAAAUGGUGAUAAAAUUUAUAAAAACUAACCGAAUAUCCUUCUGAAACGUCUCGCUUAAACUACAUGACAUAAAUAAACCGACGAAGUACUUAACCUAGCAACAUAAACUGACAACACACACAAAACUUCAGAAAACAAAUCACAAGAACAAAUAUAGAAAGAGGACAUAUGGCCUUUGAUGCCGUCCAAAAACAACAGAGGUUGUGUUUUAACACAAUAGCGGACUAGUACUGAAGGGCCCAGGAAGCUGGAUUUCAGUUCCGAACCGUCAAACGACCUCGACAAACUGAAGAAGAAGAAGAAGAAGAAGGGCAAUGUUGUGAUCAUCCACUUGGUUUAGCUGGGUUUCGGUACGACAGACACAACUUCCCGCUGCUGGUACCAUUCCUAUAAGAGCCCCGAAUUAGAAGGUGCGCCGGUCAAACAUCUGCCAUUAGGUUAGCGAAAGGUCCACCGAAACCACCACCAAUGGGCCCCACGAUGACGCUGUCAUUAUAAUUCCUCGUUGUCCGGUACUGUGCUGCGGCUCCGGGACGGGCACCGGAAGGCGAGCAUAGCGAGCAGAACGGGGUGGGCGUGUGGGUGCUUUGCGACAAUCAGCUUUUUCGUUUCAUUUUCCUGUGUGUGUGUGUGUUUGUGUGUCGGUAAUAGUUGGAUAGCUGCCUCAAAAGCGAACGCACACACGGACGACGCCCCGCCGCGUAUCACCAGCUCCUUUACCUGGCUCGGCCGUAC